rnacentral:rRNA from 1 species
CAGUAGCCGCGGGAAUACGAAGGGGGCUAGCGUUGUUCGGAAUUACUGGGCGUAAAGCGCACGUAGGCGGAUAUUUAAGUCAGGGGUGAAAUCCCAGAGCUCAACUCUGGAACUGCCUUUGAUACUGGGUAUCUUGAGUAUGGAAGAGGUGAGUGGAAUUCCGAGUGUAGAGGUGAAAUUCGUAGAUAUUCGGAGGAACACCAGUGGCGAAGGCGGCUCACUGAUCCAUUACUGACGCUGAGGCGCGAAAGCGUGGGGAGCAAACAGGAUUAGAUACCCGUGUAGUCCCUGUCUCUUAUAC